GACGAACGCUGGCGGCGUGCUUAACACAUGCAAGUCGAACGGUGAAGCGCCUUCCUUUUUGGUGGGUGUGGAUGAGUGGCGAACGGGUGAGUAACACGUGAGUAACCUGCCCCCUUCUUCUGGAUAACCGCAUGAAAGUGUGGCUAAUACGGGAUAUUCUGGGUCUGUCGCAUGAUGGGUCUGGGAAAGAUAUUGUUUCGGUGGGGGAUGGGCUCGCGGCCUAUCAGCUUGUUGGUGGGGUGAUGGCCUACCAAGGCGGUGACGGGUAGCCGGCCUGAGAGGGUGGACGGUCACACUGGGACUGGGGCACCGCCCAGGCUUCUACGGGAGGGAGCAGGGGGGGAUAAUGCACAAUGGGCGCAAGCCUGAUGCAGCGACGCCGCGUGAGGGAUGGAGGCCUUCGGGUUGUGAACCUCUUUCGCCAGUGAAGCAGGCCUGCCUCGUUUGUGGGUGGGUUGACGGUAGCUGGAUAAGAAGCGCCGGCUAACUACGUG
rnacentral:rRNA from 1 species